CCAGUAAAAUAAAAACAUUAUACCUUGGAGCUAUAAUGGGAGGAGUGCAAAAGACAAAAUCUGCCAUUAAUCAAUGGUUCCUGCUUCUAGACAGUUAGGGACUGAACUCCUACUGUGUUUGUGUUUUGUAGUUGUGGGUAGUAGUCCAUAUAUGUAAUAUAGCCAUAUAUGGUAAUAGCCUAUAUGUAAAACCUUAUCCACUGUUGGCUGUGGUAGACCAGCUUUCAUUAAUGCCCAAGCAAGUUUGUUGAAUGAUUAUUGUACUGAUAUUGUAUUUGUAAUUAAUUAGUUUACUGAAGUAAUAGAUGUACCUCCUAGUAUCUUUUCUUCUCUGAAAAACUUUGACUUAUAAGGAUUUAAAUCAUACUGAUGGUACAAACAAUGGAAUAUUUGCAUUUCCUUUUCCUUUUAUUUGCCUAGCCCCACCUGGAUCAUUGUUUUUUAUACUGGUACAUCUUGCAAUGCAUUCUUUAAGUUGAGGAGCCUGCCAAGCCUGUCAACUUUUUUCUUUUUCUUUUUUGUAAGCAAUUACGUCAGUAAAAUUGGAAAAAUAUGAAGUAUUUUCACAUUUUUGAGCAGGAGUCAUUAAGGUGUGAUCAUUAUUUUCCGAAGUUUUUCAUUCAAAGUCAGUAGUUACCUGUGGAAGUAUGCUUUACCAUUAGGGGUUAUUUUUCUGGAUUUUUGACUACAUUGUGGAGCAGUUGGAUAAUAGGAAUUUCACAGUGUUGAGGCUUCAUUUAACCAUGUUGAACCCAGGGACAAAAAGGGGAACACAUGCUACAACUUCUCCUGCUUGAAAGAUGUGGAGUUGUGUCCAACUGUCGUCGAUACUUUGCCGCUUAAGUAUCCUGUCCAGUGUGUGGACAACCGUGAUGGUCGAGAUGGACAAGUGGUGUUUGACUCUGAAUCAUUUCACAGUUAUUUCCAUUCCAUCAGUCAACCAAACGCUUCUGUUCAAUGCCUGGAAAAUCCAGAGGGUAAAGAUGGAGUAGUGGUGAUCGGCCGUGAAUCAUUUCCAAUGCACCUGUUGCAUCUCUCAAGUGGAAGACCUUGAUAAAGAUAAUGAUGUGUAUUCAUUUACAUAUGCCUGUAAAGAAGUAUUAUUACCUGAAAAAAUGUAUAUGUGAAUGAAUCAGUAUUUGUUUUUUUAUUAAAAUAUUUUUGAACAACUUUUAUAUAUUUUUUUUUUCUUUGUUCACAAUUGAACUCAGAACAGACAAAUAAUUUACAAUUCUUCAAGACCAGGGGCCGGAUGAACCAGCUGGAUGAACACCCGGUUGUAAGACUAGGCUGGAUGUAAAAUGCGCUUUAAGGCGUGCGUAGAAUUUAUCCACCUUAUUUUUCACGUUAGCGCGGGCACUGCCAUUUUAGAACCAUAAUGUGUCCGAUUUCCUGCAAGACAUUUGUUUUGACUAUAAUCCAUUUACCAGAGCUGAAUG